UAAACCUUGUUAAAUUCAUUUCAAACUUGCAUCUGAGUCAGUGUCAAGUCAAUUUGAAUCUGUUUAGGUCAUUUUUAGCCCUAGGGGCAUUUUGGUCAUUUCACACAAAAUUUCGGCAUAGAGAGGUUACUUUGAAGUACCUCAUUUAAGCCAUUGAUUCGUUUUGUCAAUUUUAUUUUUUGUUUCGCUUUACGUUUGGUCAAAUUACGUUUUUUAUUCAAUUUUAUUUUUAAUUGCAUUUUGGUCCCUCAAUUGAGGUCCCAAAAUUGCAUUUUUUGUCCAAACAGUUUUUAAUUUCAUUUCAGUCCUUACUUUCAUUUUCCAGUCCUUUUUUAUUAUUUUUUUUGCAGAAAAGGUCCCAGGGGCAUUUUUGUCCAGAAUUUUCGCACACUUCAGUCUCAGUCCAGAUGGCAUUUUCUCAUUGGCCCACAAAUACACAUGGCAGGCUAUAAAUAGAUGUGUCAGAUCCAAAUAAAAAAAUCAGAAUCAGUCACAUCACAAAAACAUAAAUUUCUUUCUCUCUCCAAAAUCAGUUAGAUCCAAAACAGAAAAUCACCAAAAAAUUCUCCAAGAACACCAAGAACAAAUCUUCACAAAAUCAACAAAUCCGAACCGGAUUCACUCAAAACCAACUCAAAUCAUCACAAAAUCAACAAAUCCGAACCGGAAUCAUUCAAAACCACCGCGAAUCAUCACACCAACACCAAAUCCGUACCGGAUUUUCGAGCAAAAGCGGCACCACCGGAGCAAAUCCGCGCGCGCGCGGCGGAGAGAAGAGGAGGCUCGGAUUUUUUUUCUCCGUUUCACGACGACGGUAACACUUUUUUCCCUCGUUUUCGCGCAUAUACACAUGUGAAAAGUUUGUUACGAAUCAAGAUUUGUAGAUCUAGGCUUGUACGUUCGGAUUUUUGAAAUUUUGAGGCCGGAUUCGGACUCUAGAGCGAAAAGGAUAUCUAGAUCCGUAAGCUUUUUUUACAAAAAGAGUGAAAAAAUUCCGAAAGUUCAAACGUAGAUCUACGACGAAUCUCUCACCCCUUUUUAAAACUAGCACCGGAUUUGAGUAGAGGAGGAGGAGACGAAGCUUUUGGUAUAAAAAUUUAAAAAAAAAAAAAAGAAAAAAAAUUCCGACGCGGUGGCGCCGCCGCCGGAAACCGGCCGGCCACCGCGCCGGAAAAGCUCCGGCCGCCACCUCCACAUCAGCUCCGACCGGCUGUUUUUAGAGAGAAGGGAGAGCUUCUCUCUCUAAGUUUAACUUAGAGAGAGAAGAGGAAAGAAAUUGUGAGAUUUUUGUGAGAGAAAUCCUUUUUAUACUCCCUCCGAUCCCACGCGCGCGCGUGCGUGUUCUUGUUGUGUUCCCUCGCUCUGUGAACCAUCAGAUCUGGAUUGUUCCAAGAUCUGAUGGCUGCUGUGUGUUUGAUUUUGAAUCCUG
rnacentral:lncRNA from 1 species